GAUGAACGCUGGCGGCGUGCCUAAUACAUGCAAGUCGAGCGAACGGACGAGAAGCUUGCUUCUCUGAUGUUAGCGGCGGACGGGUGAGUAACACGUGGAUAACCUACCUAUAAGACUGGGAUAACUUCGGGAAACCGGAGCUACUACUGGAUAAUAUUUUGAACCGCAUGGUUCAAAAGUGAAAGACGGUCUUGCUGUCACUUAUAGAUGGAUUCGCGCUGCAUUAGCUAGUUGGUAAGGUAACGGCUUACCAAGGCAACGAUGCAUAGCCGACCUGAGAGGGUGAUCGGCCACACUGGAACUGAGACACGGUCCAGACUCCUACGGGAGGCAGCAGUAGGGAAUCUUCCGCAAUGGGCGAAAGCCUGACGGAGCAACGCCGCGUGAGUGAUGAAGGUCUUCGGAUCGUAAAACUCUGUUAUUAGGGAAGAACAGAUGUGUAAGUAACUGUGCACAUCUUGACGGUACCUAAACAGAAAGCCACGGCUAACUUCGUG
rnacentral:rRNA from 1 species